UACGUAGGGGACUAGCGUUGUCCGGAAUCAUUGGGCGUAAAGCGCGUGUAGGCGGCCCGGUAAGUCCGCUGUGAAAGUCGGGGGCUCAACCCUCGGAUGCCGGUGGAUACUGUCGGGCUAGAGUGCGGAAGAGGCGAGUGGAAUUCCCGGUGUAGCGGUGAAAUGCGCAGAUAUCGGGAGGAACACCAAUGGCGAAGGCAGCUUGCUGGGACGGUACUGACGCUGAGACGCGAAAGCGUGGGGAGCAAACAGG
rnacentral:rRNA from 1 species